CCUACGGGAGGCAGCAGUGGGGAAUAUUGCACAAUGGGGGAAACCCUGAUGCAGCGACGCCGCGUGGGUGACGAAGUAUUUCGGUAUGUAAAGCCCUAUCGGCAGGGAAGAAGGAGGACGGUACCUGACUAAGAAGCCCCGGCUAACUACGUGCCAGCAGCCGCGGUAAUACGUAGGGGGCAAGCGUUAUCCGGAUUUACUGGGUGUAAAGGGGGCGCAGACGGCAGCGCAAGCCAGGAGUGAAAGCCCGGGGCCCAACCCCGGGACUGCUCUUGGAACUGCGCGGCUGGAGUGCAGGAGGGGCAGGCGGAAUUCCUGGUGUAGCGGUGAAAUGCGUAGAUAUCAGGAGGAACACCGGUGGCGAAGGCGGCCUGCUGGACUGCGACUGACGUUGAGGCCCGAAAGCGUGGGGAGCAAACAGGAUUAGAUACCCGUGUAGUC
rnacentral:rRNA from 1 species